rnacentral:tRNA from 1 species
AUCGGCUGUUAACCGAUCGGUCGCAGGUUCGAGUCCUGCCUGUGGAG